GACGAGAGAGAGGAGAGAGAUGAGAGCGAGAAAGAGAAAGUUUUAGUGGAGGAGGGAUUGGGGGUCUAGAAUAUGGGGGAUAAAGUCAUUGACACACACAUGCUCGCAGAAACACACAUUAGAGUGAGGUGUCCAUACCUGACAGUGUGUACGACACAAGAGUGAGGUGUCCAUAUCUGACAGUGUGUAUAACAUUAGAGUGAGGUGUCCAUACCUGACCGUGUGUACGACACUAGAGUGAGGUGUCCAUUCGUGACAGUGUGUAUAACAUUAGAGUGAGAUGUCCAUUCGUGACAGUGUGUAUAACACUAGAGUGAGGUGUCCAUAUCUGACAGUGUGUAUAACACUAGAGUGAGAUGUCCAUUCGUGACAGUGUGUAUGACACUAGAGUGAGGUGUCCAUAUCUGACAGUGUGUAUAACACUAGAGUGAGGUGUCCAUAUCUGACAGUGUGUAUAACACUAGAGUGAGGUGUCCAUAUCUGACAGUGUGUAUAACACUAGAGUGAGGUGUCCAUUCGUGACAGUGUGUAUAACAUUAGAGUGAGGUGUCCAUAUUUGACAGUGUGUAUGACACUAGAGUGAGGUGUCCAUUCGUGACAGUGUGUAUGACACUAGAGUGAGGUGUCCAUAUCUGACAGUGUGUAUAACACUAGAGUGAGAUGUCCAUAUCUGACAGUGUGUAUGACACUAGAGUGAGGUGUCCAUAUCUGACAGUGUGUAUGACACUAGAGUGAGGUGUCCAUUCGUGACAGUGUGUAUAACACUAGAGUGAGGUGUCCAUUCGUGACAGUGUGUAUAACACUAGAGUGAGAUGUCCAUUCGUGACAGUGUGUAUAACACUAGAGUGAGAUGUCCAUUCGUGACAGUGUGUAUAACACUAGAGUGAGAUGUCCAUUCGUGACAGUGUGUAUAACACUAGAGUGAGAUGUCCAUAUCUGACAGUGUGUAUGACACUAGAGUGAGGUGUCCAUAUCUGACAGUGUGUAUGACACUAGAGUGAGGUGUCCAUAUCUGACAGUGUGUAUGACACUAGAGUGAGGUGUCCAUUCGUGACAGUGUGUAUAACACUAGAGUGAGGUGUCCAUUCGUGACAGUGUGUAUAACACUAGAGUGAGAUGUCCAUUCGUGACAGUGUGUAUAACACUAGAGUGAGAUGUCCAUUCGUGACAGUGUGUAUAACACUAGAGUGAGAUGUCCAUUCGUGACAGUGUGUAUAACACUAGAGUGAGAUGUCCAUUCGUGACAGUGUGUAUAACACUAGAGUGAGAUGUCCAUAUCUGACAGUGUGUAUAACACUAGAGUGAGGUGUCCAUUCGUGACAGUGUGUAUAACACUAGAGUGAGAUGUCCAUUCGUGACAGUGUGUAUAACACUAGAGUGAGAUGUCCAUUCGUGACAGUGUGUAUAACACUAGAGUGAGAUGUCCAUUCGUGACAGUGUGUAUAACACUAGAGUGAGAUGUCCAUUCGUGACAGUGUGUAUAACACUAGAGUGAGGUGUCCAUACCUGACAGUGUGUAUGACACUAGAGUGAGGUGUCCAUACCUGACAGUGUGUAUGACACUAGAGUGAGGUGUCCAUAUCUGACAGUGUGUAUAACACUAGAGUGAGAUGUCCAUAUCUGACAGUGUGUAUAACACUAGAGUGAGGUGUCCAUAUCUGACAGUGUGUAUAACACUAGAGUGAGAUGUCCAUAUCUGACAGUGUGUAUAACACUAGAGUGAGGUGUCCAUUCGUGACAGUGUGUAUAACACUAGAGUGAGAUGUCCAUUCGUGACAGUGUGUAUAACACUAGAGUGAGAUGUCCAUAUCUGACAGUGUGUAUGACACUAGAGUGAGGUGUCCAUUCGUGACAGUGUGUAUAACACUAGAGUGAGAUGUCCAUUCGUGACAGUGUGUAUAACACUAGAGUGAGAUGUCCAUUCGUGACAGUGUGUAUAACACUAGAGUGAGGUGUCCAUAUCUGACAGUGUGUAUAACACUAGAGUGAGGUGUCCAUAUCUGACAGUGUGUAUAACACUAGAGUGAGAUGUCCAUUCGUGACAGUGUGUAUAACACUAGAGUGAGAUGUCCAUAUCUGACAGUGUGUAUAACACUAGAGUGAGAUGUCCAUUCGUGACAGUGUGUAUAACACUAGAGUGAGAUGUCCAUUCGUGACAGUGUGUAUAACACUAGAGUGAGGUGUCCAUACCUGACAGUGUGUAUGACACUAGAGUGAGGUGUCCAUACCUGACAGUGUGUAUGACACUAGAGUGAGGUGUCCAUACCUGACAGUGUGUAUAACACUAGAGUGAGAUGUCCAUAUCUGACAGUGUGUAUAACACUAGAGUGAGAUGUCCAUAUCUGACAGUGUGUAUAACACUAGAGUGAGGUGUCCAUAUCUGACAGUGUGUAUAACACUAGAGUGAGAUGUCCAUUCGUGACAGUGUGUAUAACACUAGAGUGAGAUGUCCAUAUCUGACAGUGUGUAUAACACUAGAGUGAGAUGUCCAUUCGUGACAGUGUGUAUAACACUAGAGUGAGAUGUCCAUUCGUGACAGUGUGUAUAACACUAGAGUGAGAUGUCCAUUCGUGACAGUGUGUAUAACACUAGAGUGAGAUGUCCAUAUCUGACAGUGUGUAUAACACUAGAGUGAGAUGUCCAUUCGUGACAGUGUGUAUAACACUAGAGUGAGGUGUGCAUACCUGACAGUGUGUAUAACACUAGAGUGAGAUGUCCAUUCGUGACAGUGUGUAUAACACUAGAGUGAGGUGUGCAUACCUGACAGCGUGUAUAACACUAGAGUGAGAUGUCCAUAUCUGACAGUGUGUAUAACA